UGGUCCCUCUCCCUCAGGGCUUCCUGGGUCAGAGCCAGGCUAUACAUUGCUCAGAGCAACACCUUAAGAGCGUCGAGUCUCUGG
rnacentral:miRNA from 1 species